CCCCCCCCCCCCCCCCCCCCCCCCUUUUUCCCCAUUGCUUCCCUUAGGAAUGUCACUUAAAUCCAGCACCACUGGAGGAAUCAGAGCUGGAGAAGAGGGUAAUUAGGGGAGAGAAGGGGCUUGGAAGCACAAGAGCAGCAAUAUUUUUACGGUGUUUGCCCUCAAACCAGUUUUUCAUCAGCCGACGUGUGUAAUUACCAGCAGACAUGUUUUGGAUAACCCAUCCCCUGGUGCAGUUUUUCCUCCCACCCUAAUCUGCAGAAUCUUCCAGCUUUGCUUUGAAUACUGACCUCUUUU
rnacentral:lncRNA from 12 species